CAGCCGCCACGGUAAUACAGAGGGUGCGAGCGUUAAUCGGAUUUACUUGGCGUAAAGCGUGCGUAGGCGGCUUUUUAAGUCGGAUGUGAAAUCCCUGAGCUUAACUUAGGAAUUGCAUUCGAUACUGGGAAGCUAGAGUAUGGGAGAGGAUGGUAGAAUUCCAGGUGUAGCGGUGAAAUGCGUAGAGAUCUGGAGGAAUACCGAUGGCGAAGGCAGCCAUCUGGCCUAAUACUGACGCUGAGGUACGAAAGCAUGGGGAGCAAACAGGAUUAGAUACCCGCGUAGUCCCUGUCUCUUAUAC
rnacentral:rRNA from 1 species